rnacentral:misc_RNA from 1 species
AAAGCACAGUUGUAUGAUCUCAGUUUCUUUCUCCAAAACCACCAUCCCUUCUUUAUAUUCUGAACUCCGGCGAAGCUCAAGUCGCGAACCAAGCACCUCCUGAAGUUCAAGUUCGUGAACCCAACACAAACUUUGUGGAUGUUGCAACAAGUCAAGAAGAACGAAGAAAAAGACCCACAUAACCAUCAUUCUUCGAUCCAAUGCAUGAAGUUGCUGCUUCCAUGGCUAAUUCUAGGGCUAACCCCGCAAUAGCUUGCUCUCACCUCCUUGAAAUGCAAAACGUAUCUCAGCUCUUCAAAACAAUCACUCUCGAACAAUCCUUCGACACUUCCAAAUCCCUUGAUAUCUUAUCCCAUUUCACAACCCAGUUGAUAACCAAUCCUAGGGUUCUUCACAUGACGCUCCGUCCCUGUGCCUACUGCCUAGUCGGGGAGAG